UACGAAGGGGGCUAGCGUUGCUCGGAAUCACUGGGCGUAAAGGGUGCGUAGGCGGGUCUUUAAGUCAGGGGUGAAAUCCUGGAGCUCAACUCCAGAACUGCCUUUGAUACUGAAGAUCUUGAGUUCGGGAGAGGUGAGUGGAACUGCGAGUGUAGAGGUGAAAUUCGUAGAUAUUCGCAAGAACACCAGUGGCGAAGGUGGCUCACUGGCCCGAUACUGACGCUGAGGCACGAAAGCGUGGGGAGCGAACAGG
rnacentral:rRNA from 1 species